AUCAGUAAAUAAUUCUUAUAGUGUAAAAGUUAAUUAUAUUCAUAUAUACUAUAAAGCAAAUAACCAAAUCAUAAAAUUACUUUUACAGCUACAUGUGGGCCCACAUCUAACCAAAAUGCAUUAGAAGCUAAAAACCUACAGCUUUUGCUGAUUCAAGUCCAAAUGAAGGUCCUUAUCAAAGUCAGCUAACUAUGGAAUUCUCCGAGCCUGAAAUGUGAGGAAAUGAGGGUGGUGAGAUUAUAAAAUCCCAGUGAGUAAACAGACACCAUCUAAACUAUCUAAAGGCGAGUAAAUGGAGACGAAUUAAAAUAAGUCAUCAUAUUGUAAUUUCAUUACCUUUCAACUCAUUUCAACCAAAUAAACAACUAGGCUUAUGAUUUCCUGAAAAGCUUGGCUCGUGCCAAAAAUCAUUCUCAUACUCAAUUAUCAAGGAUACCUUGAUCGAGGGUUAUCCCAACCAAGU
rnacentral:lncRNA from 1 species